rnacentral:rRNA from 1 species
AUUGAACGCUGGCGGCAGGCUUAACACAUGCAAGUCGAACGAGUGGCGGACGGGUGAGUAAUGUCUGGGAAACUGCCCGAUGGAGGGGGAUAACUACUGGAAACGGUAGCUAAUACCGCAUACCAUCGGAUGUGCCCAGAUGGGCUUGGCUAGUAGGUGGGGUAACGGCUCACCUAGGCGACGAUCCCUAGCUGGUCUGAGAGGAGGACCAGCCACACUGGAACUGAGACACGGUCCAGACUCGUACGGGAGGCAGAAGUGGGGAAUAUUGCAAAAUGGGCGAAAGCCUGAUGCAGCAAUGCCGCGUGUAUGAAGAAGGCCUUCGGGUUGUAAAGUACUUUCAGCGAGGAGGAGGUAAAGGAAGAAGAAGCACCGGCUAACUCCGUGCCAGCAGCCGCGGUAAUUG